rnacentral:rRNA from 1 species
UACGGAGGGGGUUAGCGUUGUUCGGAAUUACUGGGCGUAAAGCGCGCGUAGGCGGAUAGAAAGUUGGGGGUGAAAUCCCGGGGCUCAACCCCGGAACUGCCUCCAAAACUACUAGUCUAGAGUUCGAGAGAGGUGAGUGGAAUUCCGAGUGUAGAGGUGAAAUUCGUAGAUAUUCGGAGGAACACCAGUGGCGAAGGCGGCUCACUGGCUCGAUACUGACGCUGAGGUGCGAAAGUGUGGGGAGCAAACAGG